UACGUAGGGGGGCAAGCGUUGUCCGGAUUUAUUGGGCGUAAAGAGCGUGUAGGCGGCCAUGCAGGUCCGUUGUGAAAAACUCGAGGCUCAACCUCGAGACGCCGAUGGAAACCGCAUGGCUAGAGUCCGGAAGAGGAGAGUGGAAUUCCUGGUGUAGCGGUGAAAUGCGCAGAUAUCAGGAAGAACACCCGUGGCUAAGGCGGCUCUCUAGUACGGUACUGACGCUGAGACGCGAAAGCGUGGGGAGCGAACAGG
rnacentral:rRNA from 1 species